CAGGACAGUGGUAACAACAGCAGGCUAGAUUUUAAACAGGCUGUAUACAUUUCAAUGGGAGCAACAUGACGGUGAAAUGUGGCUGAUUUUACAACAGAGCAGGACGGAUUGUAGGGCAGCAAACAUCGUCAGGAAACACGUUUCCAACACUGCAGGUUACCUGGUGUAAUGCUUUUCAGGUUCAACAUUGCAAGUGACCAAUCACCUUCUUGUGACGUCAUUCCUUUGUGACUUCGAAAUACCCGCCUUCGAGUAUUUCUAAAUACAAGUGAAGAAGCGAGAAACCGCCGCCACCGAAUUUGAAGUCAAUUUAGGAUACUUUUCUUUAAUAAACGGUAAGCAUUAUACAUAUGUUCCUCACUUGGCUUGCUGUUUGUUUGCUAGCGAUAGGCUACUUGACGACAGCAUUAGCUAACCAGUGUUCUCUAGACCAGCGUUCCCCAACUUUUUGGGUGUUUCGUGGUCCGGGGGUUGGGUCAGGCAAAAUUGCAGUAGCUUCCCUGAUCAUUUUACAAACAUAAGUGAAGAGAAUCUGGACUAAAAGGCCUAGACUUAUGGUUGUGUGCUGAAUCUAUGAGUCAAACUAUCACCUGGAAACAUAAUUAACUGGUCCAUAGCUGUGAAACUGGACAUGAGUUCUUGAUUCUAUGGAGAUUAACAGUAAUCCAGAAAUUUACAAAUUUGUCCUGGGUCAUUGUGUAAAUGUUGUCCCUGGGACAAAGUGUAAAUGUUGUCCCAGGGACAAAGUGUAAAUGUUGUCCCGGGGACAUCGUGUAAAUGUUGUCCCAGGGACAUCGCGUAAAUGUUGUCCCUGAGACAAAGUGUAAAUGUUGUCCCUGGGACAUCGUGUAAAUGUUGUCCCUGGGACAUCGUGUAAAUGUUGUCCCAGGGACAUCGUGUAAAUGUUGUCCCAGGAACAUCGUGUAAAUGUUGUCCCAGGGACAUCGUGUAAAUGUUGUCCCUGGGACAUCGUGUAAAUGUUGUCCCAGGGACAUCGUGUAAAUGUUGUCCCAGGAACAAAGUGUAAAUGUUGUCCCAGGGACAUCGUGUAAAUAUUGUCCCAGGG
ensembl:lncRNA